rnacentral:rRNA from 1 species
AUUGAACGCUAGCGGGAUGCCUUACACAUGCAAGUCGAACGGAGUGGCGAACGGGUGAGUAAUGUAUCGGUACGUGCCCAGUAUCGUGGGAUAGCUACGCGAAAGCGUAGCUAAUCCCGCACACUCUUUGCUUGCCCGAUAUCGGCUUAGCCAGUGGGUGGGGUAACGGCUCACCAAGGCGACGAUCCGUAGCUGGUUGGAGAGGACGACCAGCCAAACUGGGAGGGAGACACGGCCCAGACGCCUACGGAAGGAAGCAGUGGGGAAUUUGGGAAAAUGGGGGAAGACCUGUGCCAGCCAGCCGGCGUGUGCGAUGAAGGCCUUCGGGUUGUAAAGCACUUUUGGCAGGAAAGCGGUACCUGCAGAAUAAGGAACGGCUAACUACGUGCCAGCAGCCGCGGUAAUAC